GCACCCGUAGCUCAGUUGGUUAGAGCGCAUCGUUGACAUCGAUGAGGUCAUCCGUUCGAGUCGGAUCGGGUGCACCA
rnacentral:tRNA from 2 species